rnacentral:rRNA from 1 species
CUUGGCGACCAUAGCGUUUUGGACCCACCUGACUCCAUUCCGAACUCAGAAGUGAAACGAAAUAGCGCCGAUGGUAGUGUGGGGUUUCC